rnacentral:rRNA from 1 species
GAUGAACGCUGGCGGCGUGCCUAAUACAUGCAAGUCGAGCGAACAGAUAAGGAGCUUGCUCCUUUGACGAUAGCGGCGGACGGGUGAGUAACACGUGGGGAACCUCCCUAUAAAACUGGCAUAACUCCGGGAAACCGGGGCUGAUACCGGAUAACAUUUAGAACCGCAUGGUUCUAAAGUAAAAGAUGGUUUUGCUAUCACUUAUAGAUGGACCCGCGCCGUAUUAGCUAGUUGGGAAUGUAACGGCUUAACAAGGCAACGAUACGUAGCCGACCUGCGAGGGUGAGCGGCCAAACUGGAUCGGGGGCACGUACCACACUCCUGCGAGAGGCAGCAGUAGCGAAUCCUCAGGAAUGGGAGAAGGCCUGACGUAGCCACGCCGCGUGAGUGAUGAAGGUCUUCGGAUCGUAAAACUCUGUUAUCAGGGAAGUACAAAUGUGUAAGUAUCUGUGCACGUAUUGACGGUACCUAAUCAGAAAGCCACGGCUAACUACGUG